rnacentral:misc_RNA from 1 species
CGCACCUUGCGCCCUGUGGUAUUCCGCAGGGCAUGCCUGUUUGAGUGUCAUGUAACUCUCAACCGCGCCGGUUUUGUGCCGGGGCUGGUUGGAUGUGGGCGCCUGCAGUGGCCAGUGGCUGCUGCUCGCCUGGAAUGUGUUAGUGGCGAUGUGUGAUGCUGUGGCGUAAUAAGCUUCGCCUGGGCAGAGCGCGUUUGGCUGCUUAUAGCAAGUCCGUGAGGACGACUCUACAUCUCUGACCUCAAAUCAGGUAGGACUACCCGCUGAACUUAA